rnacentral:lncRNA from 1 species
CCUUGACAACCUCCCAGUUUUUGGUAAAAAAUUCCACAGGGAAACCAUCUACACCAGGGGCGUUAUCCUUAGGCAUGUCUUUAACAGCAUCAUAUAUUUCAUCCAAAGUGAUAUCCUGUAUUAGUGCUAUUUGCUGGGCUAAAGUAAUGCAUUUUCCUUCAUUGACAAUAGAAGAAUUAAUACAAGGUAGUUCAGAAGCACUCUCACCC